rnacentral:lncRNA from 1 species
UUAAAUUUCUAAACUUAAUCAAAUAAUUUAAUAAGUCAAAGUCCUCAAUCAAAAUUACUAACUAUACAGCCAUUUUAGUCCGUUUUGUACAUGCUUUUAUAUAACUUUACAACACAAAUACCGACCGUUCUUAGAGCAAGUGGCAAAGGGCUUGAUGGUUGGUACCCAAGACCCAAGUUCGAAUCCUAGUUGAUUCACAUUUUCAGCUAAGUUUAUUUCUAAAUGAAAUAAAUGAAGCGGGUAGCGUGCUACCUAUCUCUCAUCAAAAAAAAAA